CUCCCUUUAGCGCAGCCUGGUUAGCGCGUCGGUCUGGGGGACCGAAGGCCGCGAGUUCGAAUCUCGCAGGGGAGACCA
rnacentral:tRNA from 1 species